CUUCUCCAGGCCGCCGACUCCUGCUCGUCGAAUCCCCUCUACUCACCAGGGCGCUUGGCUUCCUCCUUCCCUGCCGCACCGUGCUCCUCUGCUCCUCCCUGCUGCCAGCUCGGCCGUGCCCUGGCCAUGCUCCCUGCGCUCGCCAGCCGUGCGCAUCUCCCUCUAUGCACGCGCGCCUGCGUCCUGCGCCGCGAACCCCGCCGUGGAGCUUCCUCGAGCUCGCCCCAUGGCGCCCGGCCGAGCUCCUCCCUGUCGUGCUCUUGCUUGGCGUCCAAUUUUCCUACACGUCGCGGUCUUCCUCCCCGAGCUUGCCCUAGCCCCUUGUAUCCCCCAUGGCCGGAGCUUCUUCCAGCUCCAGCUCGGCUCUCUCUCCCAUGGCUCCCUGCACGCCCAUCUAUCUCUUGCGGAGCUCCCAGCGGCGCGCCCCGUCCCCUCUGCUUGCUCGACGCCCGUCUCCUAUGGCGUCUGGCAGCCGCUUCUCUCUGCUCGCCGCGCCCGGCCGGAACUUCCUCUGCUCGGCCAUGGCCGCCGCGUCGCGUUCCCGGCUCGCGUUCCUCCGUCCACAGCUCCGCUCGAUGCUCCUCCCUGCUCGCUCGUCCCUGCGCAUGCCCCUCAACCUCGUCGACUCGCCGAGCUUCUUGCUCGGCCUGCGUGAUCCGGCAACGCUGUCCUCCACUCGGCCUCCCUGCACCGCGCCAUGACGACCGUUGGACCUGCCGUCCCCUGCACGCCGACUUCCCUCUGCGCGCCUCUGUUCUCUCGUCAUCAUUCAUUCCUAUUUUUCUUCGCCAUAUGCCGCCUCAUCAUGACACGUGUCAUCGUCUUUAAUAUCAGAAGCUCGUCCGAUACGUGCCUCGCCGUGCUUCGCCUCCUCGUGAUCAGCCUCAUCUGGGUCAUGGGGGCGGAAGAUCUCAACACCUGUCAGAUGUUCAACGACAAGCCCGAACCAGAAUUUAUCAACAUUCUCAUAAGUAUUGAGUCACGUUUGAUGCUGGUACGUGAAUUAACCAUGUGAUGCGGAGAACCAGAGUUGAGUCGACCACAAGAUAAUGGAAAGCGUGAGCUUUUCCGCAAGAUAAUGUUGAUGAAUUAACCCGAAGAUGGAUGAACGAAGCAAGUAUCGGAAUAAAGGCUGAUCGCCAAGUGGACGUCAUCUAACAACACUAACCUAGUGUUAUCCAGCAGCCUCUUCUUCCCCGAUCCCGACUCCAACUCUCCAUCUCUCCUUCGCCUGGCACAUCCUCAGCGGCGCGGCAGCCUGCUUCUUCCCCGGCGCGGCGACCUGCUUCUUCGACGACGUGGAGGCCUGCGGCGGACGCGACGCGGCAGCCUACCAGGCGAAUGGAUCCGCAGACGAACGGAUCUUCUCGGCGCCUGGCAGAUCUUUGGACGCGACGCGGCGGCCUACCAAGCGAACGGAUACGCGGAUGAACGGAUCUUCGGCGCCUAGCAGAUCUUCGGACGCGGCGCGGCGGCCUACCAGGCGGACGGAUCCGUGGACAAAUAGAUCUCCGGCGCAUGGCAGAUCUUCGGCGCGCGGCCUACCGGGUGGACGGAUCUCCGGUGCCUGGCGGGUAGACACGACAGCCUGCCAGUCUUCUUCAGGCGGGUGGAUCUCUAGCGCUCCUUGAGCUGGAGCAGGCAGGCGUGCCGGUCUUCUCUAGGCAUCUUCUCCAGGCAGGCGUGCCGGUCUUCUCCAACGCAUCUUCAGCGUCUCUCGAGCUGGAGCAGGCUCUAUGCUCCGAUGUACUCAUCCCUGCUCCACACCGGCUCAACUGCAUCCAGGUGGGUUCGACCUUUGCUUAUGGUCAUGGAAGAGGCGACGAUGCCAAAACUCUUGCAGAGCUCGGAUUCCAAAUCGGUGAUUACUUGAGCGUUGCAAUCAUGUAGACAGUGCCCGCACCGGAUGUAAUUGCUGAAAUGUCAAAAGGUCUCUGGUUGCAACAGUAAGGUGUGAUUCUCUGUUAGCAGUAGAAACUGGAACCAGAAUUGGUCUGUAAUACUGGUAGUAUCAAAUGUCAAAAGGGCUCGGGUUCCUAUGAAGUCAAACACAGGAAAGUUUGCAUCUUGGAGCCAAACCAAUUGGGCAAAUUUUUGUUCGGUACCCAAUUUUGUUUCGCCAUUUCUAAAUUUAGAGCAUUAUGCAAAAGUGUGAAUAUAGGUGCUUCACAAACGGACACAUAUCUCACGAAGUUUCAUGUCAUUGGACUACAACUACAUGGUUUGAGCUACAUUUCUUAGUUUUGUUUGUUUU